UUAUCAUGAGUUCUCAAAAUCUAAAAUAGAAAAUGGUUUCUUUGCAAUGCUCAACUAAUUUUAGCUUUGUUUUACUUUUUCUGCAAAACCAGUAAAGAAAAUGCUAUAAUGUUACAGAUUUAAACUCAACCACUGACUGUCCCCAUCCAAAAUUGGGUUACCCUCAUGGACCUCUACCCUGUAAACUAACAUAGCCUACAUACAAAAUUUCCUGAAAAAAAUUAUAAAUAAGAAUCACUGCUAUGGAUAGCUAUUUCAUCUCAAAUCAUAAAAACAACUGAUGCCUCAGUACAAUUAAAACUGAGAAUUGCUUAGAAAAGUGACCAUGCAUCUAGCGCUUUGAAACAAUUUGUCCAUUCUCUGCCAAACUUCGCAUUGAGUUUCUAAAAGCUUACCGGCCUUAUCGUGAAAUUUUGAUUGGCUGCGUACCGUUUCACCAUGUAUCUUCAAAAACAAUCUAAUAACAGCUUGUACGAACUCAAAAUUGUUUCUGCAAGCUAUCUCAUGAAUGAAAUAAUCAAGCAGCAGCUCAAUUGAAAUAAACUCGGCUCUCUUUUCAAGCUCUUGCUGAUCAUCCUCAUCUAUUAUCUGCAGCAUUCGAAGUUCCAUAUCCAAAGUUGAUGGAGACAAACCUUUCAUAUAAUCAGUAAAUGCAGAAACUGCAAAACAUAAAAUUGUUAGAUUACCAGGAAUUCCCGUAUAAACCAAUCAUCAAAGAAAUUUUAUCUAACUCAUAAAUGAAAAUAGUAUACAGAAAGGAUUGGGAUGCACACAAUUUUUCAUCUUGGCAGAGGACUGAAGAAUUUGCAAAAACUGAGAUGAUGGCCUGUCUAGUUUUCUUUGAUUGUUCUCGACUUCCUCAGUUUUUGUAUCUUUCUCCUCAUUCAUUGGCUCACUAGGUUUAAAUAAUACUUCUCCAGAAAGAGAUGGAAUUGAAGGCAAGAAGAAUGGAGCAUUUACAGGCUUCUUAGGAGGCUCAACUGGUUUGUUGCGCACCUUUAUAAUGUCUAAGUUGAUCAAGCCCUGCCAUUGGCUUUUAGGCAACAAUGAGAGAGUUACAAGUUCCGGGAUUUGCUGACUGAAAGUUGGCAAAACAGAAGCUUCAUCAUGUUGUGGGCGCUUCACAAUAGGCUCAACAGAGUCCUGAAAUUGAGAACCUUCCAUUGAAGAGACAGAUGGCAAUUUGACACUCACAACUUCUUUCCCACUUGCAUAUGAAUCAACAACUGAAGCCCCGGAGAACAUUGACUGAUUAACCCAUAAAUAGACACCGUUUUGAUCAACAUGAGCAGUUGCUAAUAUAUCUAAAUUUGGUGAUAGAGACAAUGCUGUAAUAGGCACAUCAACACGUAUUGCAUCUAUUUGCCUGGCUAAGAUCACAUCCCAAAUUCUAAGAGUGCCAUCCAUACUGGAGGACAAAAGCCAUUUCCCAUCCUCACUGAAAGAUAAAUCUGUAACACGGUCGGUGUGACCUUCAAAUUUGCGAACCAUUCUCAAUGCCUCAACAUCAAACAAACGGAUAACCAAAUCAUCAGCCACAGUAGCCAAAAGACCAUUGAGACGAUGAUGAACAAUCUUAAAUUCUAAGAGUGCCAUCCAUACUGGAGGACAAAAGCCAUUUCCCAUCCUCACUGAAAGAUAAAUCUGUAACACGGUCGGUGUGACCUUCAAAUUUGCGAACCAUUCUCAAUGCCUCAACAUCAAACAAACGGAUAACCAAAUCAUCAGCCACAGUAGCCAAAAG
rnacentral:misc_RNA from 1 species